rnacentral:rRNA from 1 species
UACGUAGGGUGCAAGCGUUGUCCGGAAUUAUUGGGCGUAAAGAGCUCGUAGGCGGUUCGUCGCGUCGGCUGUGAAAACCUGAGGCUCAACCUCAGGCCUGCAGUCGAUACGGGCAGACUUGAGUACUACAGGGGAGACUGGAAUUCCUGGUGUAGCGGUGAAAUGCGUAGAUAUCGGGAGGAACACCAGUGGCGAAGGCGAGUCUCUGGACAUUUCCUGACGCUGAGGCACGAAAGCCAGGGGAGCAAACGGGG